GGAAGAGAAAUCCAGUUUCACACGGCUGCUACCACCCAACAGCAGCCUCCCAAAGAAAUACUAUUUGGAACUUUCCACCUGGCCUUGAUAUGGGUGGAAAGAAAGCUGGGGGAACACAGAUGAUUGUGUCCCUCCUGGUUGACAAGAGGGUGAAGUGGUUGUCCUCAGCUCACCCUGUUGUGGCUACUGGCUGAAGGCCUCUGGCAGGCUGGCUGGGACUGAGGGGUGAGAAGGGGCACUCGGCCAAGAGAACUCACAGGGACUAGUGUCUCUGCUCAGCGUCUGCUCAGCAGAAGUGCAUCUGGCUGUGAGCUCAGCAGUUCCACCCAAGGCCAAGGGAGGGGUGGGACCCACUGCACUCCACCAGCCCCAUAAGGAGGGGAGAAAGCCAGAAGUCUUCUCCAAACCUGGGCCGAGAGAAGCUCUCUAUUGGGAGAGGAAAGGGCCCAGAUAGUUUAGGGCAGGGACAGGCCAAGGGACAAAGCUCAGGGCUGUCCCUCGAGGAGGAGUCAUCUGGACAGAUCUAGGCCACCUGGGUCAAGGACCAAACAAGAGUUUAGAAGCAAAGGGCUACAAAAGCAGAGAUGUGUGAGUGUCCGGGAUGGGGGCUGGGAUUCGCAGGAGGAGGUGGCACCGCUGCUGGACCUUGGAGGAUGGGGAAUGAAACUGAGAGAUGCCAACACUUGUGAGACACAAGGGGGAAGUGACUACAAAACAGAGAAGUGUAAAACCAAAGAAGGAAACUUCUUAGAGAAUCCAGAGGAAGGGAAUAAAGAAGCAGAGAGCAAAUAGGGUGAAAUGCAGCAGGAAAGUCUACAAAAACAAGGACCAAGAGACAGAUUUGGUGAGUAGUUCAGCAGAUUGACAGGGGCUUGGGUUAGGCAUAGGAGCUACGCCAGGAGGGAGGUACGAAUAACAUUU
rnacentral:lncRNA from 1 species